rnacentral:rRNA from 1 species
GCCCGGUCCCAUUCCGAACCCGGAAGCUAAGACCCACAGCGCCGAUGGUACUGCACCCGGGAGGGUGUGGGAGAGUAGGACACCGCCGGAC